UACAGAGGUCCCGAGCGUUGUUCGGAUUCACUGGGCGUAAAGCGCACGUAGGCGGCUUGGUAUGUCGGGUGUGAAAUCCCCGGGCUCAACCUGGGAACUGCAUCCGAAACUGCCUUGCUAGAGUAUGGGAGAGGGAAGUGGAAUUUCCGGUGUAGCGGUGAAAUGCGUAGAUAUCGGAAGGAACAUCAGUGGCGAAGGCGACUUCCUGGACCAAUACUGACGCUCAGGUGCGAAAGCGUGGGGAGCAAACAGG
rnacentral:rRNA from 1 species